rnacentral:lncRNA from 1 species
GUGGAAAGAGUAUUGUUGGUAAUCCAUCCAUUUAACCUCAGGUUAGUUGAAAUUAGUUCAUCUUCUUAGAUCUAAUCUUCAGUGGGUUGAACCCAAAAAUAGGAUUAAUACCAUCACCGAGCUUAAAUCGUAAAGGAAUUACUAAUUUCUGACAUUUUUUUGCGAGGUUGUGGAUGUAUUUCUGGGAUUUGCACUAUUGUACAGGUUAUGCAAAGUAUUCUGGACUUGAGCAACUAGUUAGGUACAUAAUUGAACCCAACCAAUUUUCUUUCCUCUUUUGGACUGAUCGUUCGAAAUAAACAAUUUCGAAAUUAUUUUGCUAUGUGUAUUAUGAAAUAAUAGACCUACUAUAGAUGUUAAUAGACUGCUAUAAUCUAUGAGUCUUGAUUUAAUACCAUAUGAAACACCCUAAACUCUCACCAGGUGUAUGGUAUAUCAACCAACUGAAUUUCAUCUAGACAUCAUACAAUGUGUAGUAACUUUUAUCAUCUAAUAUAACUUUAUCAAAUAUCUUAUGUAAAGUGUAUUCAAAUCAAACCAUUUAUACUCUUGUAGUGUUUGACUGACUUAUCCUCAACUGUGGUGUGCUUUGUUUAUCUAAGAUGAUAAUUCUCUUGGCUGUAUUCGGAACCUCUUGGAAAGAUCUAAAUUCAUAUGUACCUGCAAAAAGAAAAACCAAGUAAGCAAAAAAAUCAGCAAAAGUACUUCCCUCCCUUAAGGAGUGUUGUACUCUUACUGACAUGGAAUUCUUCAAUUUAUUGAUGGAAUUGACCUCCAUUGUCACAUUCCAAGGUAUUUCCCACUCUCCCUUCAGCAUAUAUACCAAAGCCAAUGAGUCUGUUUAUAAUGUUUGGAAAGUUGUUUUCCAAACAACAUUGAAGACCUUCUCUAAUAGCAAUAGCUUCAGCAACUAGAUUAGUAGAAUCAGAAAUCCUUACCCCCUUAGCAAUCACCAGCGAACCUUCAUGAUUUCUGAUUCAAAAGGCAGCAACACUAGGUCCAGAAUUACCUCUAGAUGCCCCAUCUGUAUUACAUUUCAACCACCCAGAUAGUGGAGGAUUCCAUUUAACCCAUUUAGAGACAAACCUAGGUCUGAAAACAUCCAAUAGAGCAACCAUCUGAGACCAAGUGGAGAGGACAUCAGUAUAUUGAAACUUUAACUUCAUAAAUUUAUGAAUAAUACUAUUAAUGUCCCAAAUCACUUUACUUGUGGUGUAAUUACCACCAUGAAGCACAAUAAUUCUCCUUUUCCAUAAGAACCAUAAGAUUAGAUUAGGAAUAACUUGAAAAAUCACCUUUUGCCUAGUAUUUCCUUGAAUAUGCCACUGUUUUUUGAUAGAUUGCUUCAACUGAAUCCAAGUCCCUAAUAUUCCAGGUGCAUAUGAGAAAUAUUGCCACAGUUUGUUGGCAAUUUCACCUUUCAAAAAUAAGUGUUCCAUAGUUUCUCUUGCUGGAACAGUACAACAUAAGCAAAGUUGAGACUGAUUAGGAUUCCAAUGAUCUACAACAACAGCUAUUGGAACUAUAUUAGUCCAAACCCUCUAACUAAAGAAAUAUACCUUAAAAGGAAGAUCUUGCACCUAUAUCAUCUUUAAAUUUUCAUCUACUUCAUUUUUUUUCCUCAAAAUCUCCCAAGCACUCUUAACUGAGAAGUUUUUGGUGCUUGUCUCGAUCCACCACGGUUUGUCUCCCAUAUCAGUCUGUCUAAUAUGAUCCAUAUGUUGCCUAAUAUGUUCCAGAACAUGAUAAGGCAGAUGAUCAUACAUACUAUCAUAAUCCCACCCUACUUUAUUCAUGAAAAACUCAAUGUCCAUCAAAGAGUGACAAGUUUGUACUUCAGUUUGAUAUGUGUAAAGAGGACCUAGCUGGGUCCAACUAUCAUAUGAAACAGUAAAAGUUCCACCCUUAGGUUCCCACCAUAUAAAUUUUUCAAUGUCGUCCCUAUUUUGUACCAUAUUCUUCCACAAUUGAGAUCCACAUUUCCAUUGAACCAGAGUUGGAAUAUAAAUAGGGAAUGUACAUGACAUUCUAAGGAGAUUAAGAAAAUUCUUCAACAAGCAUUCUACAAGGAUUGGAGAAAGCGACAACACCAACUACAUAGCUCUUUGAAGAAGUGGUUAACAGAAUUCUUCCCGGAGAUCGACUUGAAACGACGAAUUGCUUCCCGACGUUUCCGGAGAUCAAACACAUCUCAAGAAGGUCUACAUCAUCCAACAAUUCGAGAAGUACGCUACUGUAGGCCCUCGAAUCUUGGAGAAGUUUAAGAGAGAAGAAUUAAGAGAACAACAAAAUUGUACUCACAACGAUUUAUCAAUAAAAAUCACAUUUUCUUUUUA